UGUAAUUACUUACAAGCCUAAAUUUAAAGAUACGUGAAAGAGUGCUCUAACACGUUCCGAGUGCUUUUCAAACCUCUAUAAAUAGAAGACAAACAGAUCCUCAGAAACAACAAAGCAAAAUAAAUUUCCACCAACUCGAGUCCGAAUAGCUUCCUAAGUAUCCAAAGACAUGGAAAAGACUGUCAAAUCAGCACUGUUGGUGCUCCUCUUUGUUAUUGCAAUUGGUUUACCAGUGGGUCAAUCGUGUUCCAGCUCAUACGACUGCAGAAUAACAGGCUGUCCCUGUGUUAAUCAUGAGUGUAAAUGCUCGUACCAAACAACAAAUAUAAACUCACAAGUGCCACCAAAGCCACCAACAGCAAAUAUAAACUCACGAGUGCCACCAAAGCCACCAACAUCCUAUCGAAAGGUGCAGAGUCCCCAACUGCCAUGAUGGAGCCGACAUAUCUGAUACACCCCUACAAUAAUGUUAAGAAAUACUAUGAAAAUUCCCUUUAGAAUCAGAUUAGUGAGAAUAAAAAAUAUAUAUGAAUAAUACAAAUAAAAUGAACAAAUAGUUGUAUCUCUAAUUAUGCUGCAAAAUUUAUUGAAAAAAUAAAUAAUAUACAAGUGUUCACAACACUUAUUAUAACUCACAACCAUAUGCACCCCAAUCACACCCGAGAAUUUUCUCUAAAAAAUUCUCUUAAAGCUUCUCUCUCUUCUUUAUGUUUUCUUUUGUUUUUGGGAUGAAUAUAACAAAUCAUAACUUAUGUUUAUAUAGAUCCUAUAUUUCUAUAUAUGGCUUCUUAAAUUAAGAAAACUAUUUUCUCCUUCACAUUUCGUAGGAAACAUUCACGUAUUGCUAAGAAAUUCUAAGGCUUAUAUUUGUUUUCCUUUUUUAAAUUGUGGUGAUCUUAACAAUCUCCCACUUGAAGACUAAUUUUAAUUUGUCUUCACACCUAAUGCAGCUCAACUUGCUCGUAUGUUACUUAUGUAGGCCAACUAAAGUUGAACACAACUUCAGUUUGUCAAUAGUCACCGUCUUUGUUAACAUAUCUGCCGGAUUCUCAGUUCCUGUAAUUUUCUCCGGUUUUAACACUUCAUCUUCUAAUAGAGAUCUUAUGAAAUGAUAGCGAAGUCCAAUAUGCUUAGUUUUAGAAUGAAAUGCUGAAUUCUUUGCCAGGUGUAUUGCACUUUGAUUGUCACUGUACAAUACAUUAUUCUUUUGCUUGAAUCCCAACUCAGUUAACAAACCUUGAAGCCAUAUCAUCUCCUUACUAGCUUUGGCUACCGCUACAUAUUCAGCCUCUGUAGUGGAAAAAGCGACAAUCUUUUGUAGUUGCAACAACCGUGAAUAUAUAACCUGUGGUGCUUUUUACGACGAUCGACUUCUCCUCCAAAGUUUGCAUCGACAUAACCUUGUAGUGUUAAAUUACCUUUACCAAAGUACAAGCACUUUUCUGUAGUACCUCGUAGAUACCUCAAAAUCCACUUCACUGCUUCCCAAUGAAUUUUUCCUGGAUUUGACAUAAACCUGCUAACAACUCCUAUGGCAUGUCCAAUAUCCGGUCUAAUACAAACCAUUGUGUACAUCAAACUACCAAUGGUUGAGGCAUAUGGAACCUUAGCCAUAUAAUCUUUAUCUUCCUCCGUUUGAGGCGAUUGAUCCCUAGAUAAUCGAAAGUGACUUGCCAAGGGUGUAGGCUUGGCAUCACUCAUAUUAAAUCUCUGUAAAAACACGUUUGAUGUAUUCUGAUUGAGAUAAUUGCAAAGUACCUUUAUGGUUA